UACAGAGGUCUCGAGCGUUGUUCGGAUUCAUUGGGCGUAAAGGGCGCGUAGGCGGCGUGGUAAGUCACUUGUGAAAUCUCUGAGCUUAACUCAGAACGGCCAAGUGAUACUGCUGUGCUAGAGUGCAGAAGGGGCAAUCGGAAUUCUUGGUGUAGCGGUGAAAUGCGUAGAUAUCAAGAGGAACACCUGAGGUGAAGACGGGUUGCUGGGCUGACACUGACGCUGAGGCGCGAAAGCCAGGGGAGCAAACGGG
rnacentral:rRNA from 1 species